rnacentral:rRNA from 1 species
CUGGGUUUGACAUGCACAGGACGCCGGUAGAGAUAUCGGUUCCCUUGCGGUCUGUGUGCAGGUGGUGCAUGGCUGUCGUCAGCUCGUGUCGUGAGAUGUUGGGUUAAGUCCCGCAACGAGCGCAACCCUUGUCUCAUGUUGCCAGCGCGUUAUGGCGGGGACUCGUGAGAGACUGCCGGGGUCAACUCGGAGGAAGGUGGGGAUGACGUCAAGUCAUCAUGCCCCUUAUGUCCAGGGCUUCACACAUGCUACAAUGGCCGGUACAAAGGGCUGCGAUGCCGUGAGGCUUAGCGAAUCCUUGAAAGCCGGUCUCAGUUCGGAUCGGGGUCUGCAACUCGACCCCGUGAAGUCGGAGUCGCCAGUAAUCGCAGAUCAGCAACGCUGCGGUGAAUACGUUCCC